UACGUAGGGUGCAAGCGUUGUCCGGAAUUAUUGGGCGUAAAGAGCUCGUAGGCGGUCCGUCACGUCGGGCGUGAAAACCCAGGGCUCAACCCUGGGCCUGCGUUCGAUACGGGCGGACUAGAGUUCGGUAGGGGAGACUGGAAUUCCUGGUGUAGCGGUGAAAUGCGCAGAUAUCAGGAGGAACACCGGUGGCGAAGGCGGGUCUCUGGGCCGAUACUGACGCUGAGGAGCGAAAGCGUGGGGAGCAAACAGG
rnacentral:rRNA from 1 species